rnacentral:rRNA from 1 species
ACUAUUAAACCUUCUCUCCUCAGUGGAAACGCUGGGGUAAUAAACAAGCCCAAAACGGGGAAGGCCUUGGGGAUUGCAUAUAAUGCAGGUCCCAGGUAGAAUAAAGUAAUGUCUAUCAACAAGGUUAAUCCCGUGGGAAAGAUGUUUUCUGAAGUUGAGCGAGCAUAUCUUGCCGGAAUAAUUGACGGUGAUGGUGCAAUUAUGGCGUGUCUUGAGAGGCACGCAGAAAAGAAGUAUGGAUUUCGAGUGCGAGUUGUUGUAAAGGCAACGUACUCAAAAGAAGAGUACCCAAAGGAAUGGAAGAAUAUAACUGGUAUUGGGUAUGUCAGGAAGAAUCGAAGAACAUACGAGUGGGAAGUAAAAGAUCAAAAGAAGGCACAAGAACUUCUUAAGGUGUUACUCCCAUAUCUGCGUGUAAAAAAGAGGCAAGCUAACAUUGCGCUGAAGAUUUGUGCAAAGGAGGUCAAAACAAAAAGAGACCUUGUACAUGUAGCUCGUUUGGCAGAUACAUUGUCUGCGUUUAAUCUUCGUUCUAGAGGGCGAAGAAAGAACUAUGCGGCAAUGAUCCAAGAAGAUGUCUCCCGUAACGACUGAUUCUUGUCACUCUAGUGAUAAAAGAUGAGAUAGGGGCAGACCCUCUAUCAUACGGUUUGCACCUAAUGUUUUACUGGUGACAGUAAAACUAUGGUGAAGGUAUAGUCUAACCCCAACAGUAAUGUUGUGAAGGUUAAGAGGUCCCAAGGGUUUGGCUGUUCGCCAAUUAAAGUGGUACGUGAGCUGGGUUUAAAACGUCGUGAGACAGUUUGGUCCCUAUCUUUCGUGGGCGUAGGAUAUUUGAGAGGAUCUGUUCCUAGUACGAGAGGACCGGAACGGACGAACCAAUGGUGUUCCAGUUGUCGCGCCAGCGGCAUUGCUGGGUAGCUAAGUUCGGAAUGGAUAACCGCUGAAAGCAUCUAAGCGGGAAGCCAACCUCGAGAUUAGAUAUCCCUUUCGAUGGAAACAUCGAAACUGAAGACCCCUUGAAGACUACAAGGUUGAUAGGCCAGGUGUGUAAGCAUAGCAAUAUGUUUAGCUAACUGGUACUAAUCGGUCGUGAGGCUUGGCCAC